GUGGCCAAAGCCUAUUCAAACCAAUGUAUAUGGCCUGUGGCUUCUUUGCCCUUUUAACCUUCAUCACUCAUGAUUAUUAAUUUUAUCAAUUAUUUAUCCAACUUCAUGCUUGUACAUAACUUUAUCAAUUUUGUGAUUCAUUGAGUGUGGGUUCCUAGAUCAUUGUUACUUUCUUUUAUGUUUGUUAACUGAAUUUGUGAUAAUGUUAAAUGAUGCAGCUCUCUCG
rnacentral:misc_RNA from 1 species